rnacentral:rRNA from 1 species
GAGUUUGAUCUUGGCUCAGAUUGAACGCUGGCGGCAUGCUUUACACAUGCAAGUCGAACGGUAACGCGGGGGCAACCCUGGCGACGAGUGGCGAACGGGUGAGUAAUACAUCGGAACGUGUCCUGGAGUGGGGGAGUAGCUCGGCGAAAGCCGGAUUAAUACCGCAUACGCUCUGAGGAGGAAAGCGGGGGACCUUCGGCCUCGCGCUGCGGGAGCGGCCGAUGUCGGAUUAGCUAGUUGGUGGGGUAAAGGCCUACCAAGGCGACGAUCCGUAGCUGGUCUGAGAGGAUGAUCAGCCACACUGGGACUGAGACACGGCCCAGACUCCUACGGGAGGCAGCAGUGGGGAAUAUUGGACAAUGGGGGCAACCCUGAUCCAGCCAUGCCGCGUGGAUGAUGAAGGCCUUCGGUUG